CCCGCCCAGGAGACGCGCGAGCUGAGGGUGCCGCGCGCCCUUUACCCACGCCUGUGGGAUCCUCGCCAGCACCUUGCAGAAGAGACGAACUCUGAGGCCGCGAUCCUCCGGACGCACAGCUGGAGAUGGCGGGUGCUAGCUGAACUUACUGCAGUCAUCAUUUCACCAAACCUGUGAGUCAAACCCUGUUGUACACCAUACACUUGCACAGCACUGUGUGUCAGUUGUAUCUCAAUAAAACUAGAGAAGGAAGAAACUGAA